GCCCCGGCCCGGAAGGGUGAUGUGGCUGGACCAGCACUGGCUUCACUAUGUCUGCCAUUUUCAAUUUUCAGAGUCUAUUGACUGUAAUCUUGCUGCUUAUAUGUAUGUGUGCUUAUAUCCGAUCCAUGGCACCCACCAUCCUGGACAGAAAUAAAACUGGACUAUUGGGAAUAUUUUGGAAGUGUGUCCGAAUUGGUGAACGCAAGAGUCCUGAUGUCACCAUAUGCUGUAUAGUGAUGGACUUCAGCAUCCUUUUCAUGCAGUAGCUUCAGAAACUACCAGCAUGUGAUUGCCAUCAGACUGUAAACAAGGACUUGCCUCCAGAAAAUAAUGAGAAGAAUGGUUAAGCCAUUUGUCUCUGAACAUGGAUGAGAUAAAUUUCGAGAUGCUGUUCACUAUUUUUAUGCUAUU